UACGGGGGGAGCAAGCGUUGUUCGGAUUUACUGGGCGUAAAGGGCGCGUAGGCGGCCACCGCAAGUCAAUUGUGAAAUCUCCGGGCUCAACCCGGAAAGGUCAACUGAUACUGCGGGGCUAGAGUGCAGAAGGGGCAACUGGAAUUCUCGGUGUAGCGGUGAAAUGCGUAGAUAUCGAGAGGAACACCUGAGGUGAAGACGGGUUGCUGGGCUGACACUGACGCUGAGGCGCGAAAGCCAGGGGAGCAAACGGG
rnacentral:rRNA from 1 species